rnacentral:misc_RNA from 1 species
UGGAAAUCCACGGAUCAGUGCUAAGUUUGUUGCACCUUGUUACUACAUGAAUAAAGUAGAGAUAGACGCAAAACUUCCUAUAGUUGGUGAUCAGAAAUGGAAAAUAUGGAUUUGUUCCUUCAACGUGCCAAUGGCACCUGGGAAGACACGUUCAAUUGUUUGUAGCGCUCGAAACUUCUUCCAAUUAACAAUGCCAGGGCCUGCUUGGUGGCAGGUGGUUCCCAGAUGGCACGAACACUGGACUUCAAAUAAGGUGUACGAUGGAGACAUGAUUGUUCUUCAGGGUCAAGAGAAGAUCUUUCUUUCCAAAGCAAAGGAAGGUUCAACUGACGUAAAUCAAAAUUACACAAAACUCACAUUCACACCCACUCAAGCGGAUCGCUUUGUCUUAGCUUUUCGAAAUUGGCUGAGGCGACAUGGAAACAGCCAACCUGAGUGGUUUGGCUAUAGUGAUCAACAACCUUUGCCAUCAAUAAUCCUAUCAAAAGGCCAGAUGUUGGAUAGAUUUGAACAGCAUACCCAGAAAUGCUCAUCAUGUAGAAGGGCCUACACUGCAUUCCAAACAUUACAAAAAAUUUUAAUUGGUGCAACUGUGGCUUUCUCUGCUACGGCUGGGAUUCCCUCAGAUCUCCAGUUCAGGGUUUUCUUGGCCGGACUUGCAAUUUUAAGUGCCGGCUUGGCUUACAUCUUGCACCAACUGGGGAGAAAUUUUGUAUAUGUUGAUUAUGUACAUGCUGAAAUUGAAUAAGAAGACACAGAC